rnacentral:rRNA from 1 species
CCUACGGGGGGCUGCAGUGAGGAAUAUUGGUCAAUGGACGAGAGUCUGAACCAGCCAAGUAGCGUGAAGGAUGACGGCCCUAUGGGUUGUAAACUUCUUUUAUAUGGGAAUAAAAUGUUCCACGUGUGGGAUUUUGUAUGUACCAUAUGAAUAAGGAUCGGCUAACUCCGUGCCAGCAGCCGCGGUAAUACGGAGGAUCCGAGCGUUAUCCGGAUUUAUUGGGUUUAAAGGGGGCGUAGGUGGAUGGUUAAGUCAGUUGUGAAAGUUUGCGGCGCAACCGUAAAAUUGCAGUUGAAACUGGCAGUCUUGAGUACAGGAGAGGUAGGCGGAAUUCGUGGUGUAGCGGUGAAAUGCGUAGAUAUCACGAAGAACUCCGAUUGCGAAGGCAGUUCACUGGACUGCAACUGACACUGAGGCACGAAAGCGUGGGUAUCAAACAGGAUUAGAUACCCGGGUAGUC